GUGAGUUGUAGCCCAGGAGACACUUCAGCUGGCUAGCUCAGGAAUAGCCCAGGAGUGGCUGACGGAACUCUUCAGCUGGCUAGCUCCGUAAUAAUGUGUGUUAAUUCCGUGACCGACGUUGCCAAUAGUCACUCAGGUAGCAGCUAGUUAGCUGCAAGAUCCAGGUGUAAAUGUCCAGAGCCUGCGGUAGAAAUCGGGGAAAGGAGAGAGAAUAGGUCCGGUGUGCUCUGGUCUGAGUCGCGCUGUACAAAAACUGGCGAUAGCUUUUCGAGCUAAUGGAUAGCUGAGGACAGCUAACCAUGGCUAGCUGAACUUCAACGUUAGCCAGUGAAAAUGGCUAAACACUUGCUAGCUUCUGUUGUGGAAUUCAGAUGAGAGAAGAUGAGUAUACACUUCCCUGUUGCGUCUUGGUCCUCCACACACGACAAUCGUUACAGAACUACCCACCACAACCGGACCAAGCAACAGAAGAGGAAGCAGCCAAGGAAGCAGGAGGACUACAGGGAAUCGUGGUCAUGGGAGGAAAUCCUGGCGGGAGAAGGUCCGUGGCGAAGGAACGGUGAGGACCGGGAGAAGUACGUUGGCACGAGGCUAGCAAGGAAGCCUGAGAGGCAGCCCCAAUAAAUGUUUUUGGGGGGCACACGGGGUGGGUGGCUGGGCAAAGGAUGCCCCUGAAGCCAACACCUCGUGCUUAUUAUGGGGAGCACAUGGAGUGGAGAGCGCCGAAGUACGAAGAGGUACGCAAGAUCUCGCCCAUGCGCAUGCACAGUCCGGUGCGUGUGAUCUCAGCCCCAAGCAAAGGCCGUGCUAGAGUGGGCAUCCAGCCUGGAAGGAGGAUGCCAGCCCAAUAAGUCUGGCCACCGGUACGCCUCCGAAGUCCAGGCUACAGGACACCUCCUCUACGCACGGCGACCAUCAGGCCCCUGCAUAGCCCAGUCCGCCCUGUACCAGCACCCCGAAUGUACAGGGCUACUACUGCCAUCCAGCCAGGAUGGGUUGUGCAGAAGGUGAGCUCGAGACUUCCAGUACUCACCCAAGGCCCGGUGUAUCCUAUUCCUGCGCCACGCACAAGCCUACAGGUGCGUGUAUCCAGUCUGGCUCUUCCGAAGCCAGCACCGCGCACCAGGCAUCCCGAGCAGCAGCCUAGUCCAGCUCGACCUAUCCCUGCUCCCCGCACAAGCCUACAGGUGCGUGUCUCUAGUCUGACUCCCCCGAAGCCAGCACCACGCACCAGGCUCCCAGUGCGGCAGCCUAGUCCAACUCGUCCUACUCUUGCCCCUAGCACUAGCCCUGAGGUACGUGGGCCUAGUCCGGCCUCCCCUACGCCAGCCCCACGUACCAGGCCUUCAGUGCAUGCGCCUCGCCCAGAUGGCACAGCGACAGCGUCUCGCCCAGAGUGCCCAGCGCCUAACCCAGAGUGCCCGACGACAGUGCCUCAGCCCGAGUGUCCGGCACCUAUGCCCGAGAGAGAGUCGCCCUCCAGUCCGACGCAGCCAGAGUCGCCCGUAG
rnacentral:lncRNA from 1 species